AGCUGCCAAAAAUAAUAAUGUCGUUUACAAGCAGCUUCUCCUAUGUCUAAGGAAGAACUAGCCACCCAGGAGUGCGUGCUGGCUUUGGAGGAGCGAGAGAAGAAAGGGGCAAAAUCUACCUCCCCCCACUUUCAAAUACACACUAUCAGAACCCACUGGAAGCUGUGGCCCAUUCCAGAGGUGCUGGCAACAUCGAGGGACAUUCAUAUCCACAAAAAUUCUGAACGACUCAACGCUGGUAAGUGUAAGAUGCUUCAAAGUAUUUCUGUGCUUGUCAUUUGCUUCGAGGACUAAGAGAGACAAGUUUGAAAGCAAUAUGUUCUGAUCACGAAACAGCUGGAAAUGGCAGCAACCUGAUACAGAGCAAUCAAGAACUGAAGGUUUAUUCUGAAUGGGCGGCAUUGUCCAACUGUGAGACAGUGAAGCUGAGAAUAAGUGCAAACACAAUCAAUAGAGACUUCAGGGGUAAAGUUACUGAGAAGCUGUCUUGUUGCAUGUCUUUCUGCUGCCACAUUUGCACUGUACCCAUAGAUUGCAAUACUGUCUGUGGAGAAGGAAACAAUUCUUCAAUUUAUUUUUAUUCUUAAUGACAGCUUCUGAGCUGUCACUUGAAAAUACAAUGAUAAAAUGGCUCUUUCAGAAAUAAAAAGUAUAUUUCAAAGCUCCACUGUAUCUUGGGUAGGUAAGAAUGCCUCAUCAUUAAAUGGUCUUUAAUAUA